CAGGCAAUCGGUGUAAUUGAUCUCCCUGUGCGAAAGCAGGGAUAACCACAUAAGACGAGAAGACCCUGUGGAACUUCAAAAACAGCAACCACCCCAAUAUACAUUCACACCCACCCCGGGCUCACUUAUCCAUAAAGCACUGGUUAGCAUUUUUUCGGUUGGGGCGACCUUGGAGCAAAACAAAACCUCCAAAAACUGGACCAUCCCUCCAAACUAAGAGCAACCCCUCAACGUGCCAAGAGCUCCCAGACCCAAUACAAUUGAUCAAUGGACCAAGCUACCCCAGGGAUAACAGCGCAAUCUCCUCCAAGAGUCCAUAUCGACGGGGAGGUUUACGACCUCGAUGUUGGAUCAGGACAUCCUAGUGGUGUAGGAGCUACUAAGGGUUCGUUUGUUCAACGAUUAACAGUCCUACGUGAUCUGAGUUCAGACCGGAGUAAUCCAGGUCGGUUUCCAUCUAUGACGAACUCUUCCUCGUACGAAAGGAUCGGAAAAGUGAGGCCAAUACCACAAGCAAGCCUUCGCCUUAAGUAAUGAAGUCAACUCAAUUACAAAAGGCUAUCACUCCACACCACGUCCUAGAAAAGG
rnacentral:rRNA from 1 species